rnacentral:lncRNA from 1 species
GAGAAUCAUUGUUCACCUUCUUCUUCCUUAUUCCCUUGUUCAAGUCAAACGUCUUUGUACUCUUCUAUUUCGCAUCAUCUGCAUUAUUCCGUUGAAUCAUGUAAUCGUCUUCAUUCUUUAUUCCCUUUUCUUCUGUUCAAUUUAUUUCUUUAUUUGAUUUAUUAUACUCGUAAGCUCAUGAUGUUUUGUUCUUCCACGUGAAUAUUACAUACACUCUUUUUGCCUACUUGUCAUUGUCCUAUGAUACCUGAUACCUUCCCAUUGAUGAUGUCGUGGUGGAGACACACCCCUACUACAGAUCGGAGAUGGUCACCACGAGCUCACUCACGUGUUUCUCUAGAUUUGGCCACCAGGUGACCAAAUCAUCAAUUUUCGCAGUCUGGGCCUCCAUCGGCAUAGUGUUGGCGUCCAUUGAGGAAGUCAACUUGUCGAGGUAGCUCUUGGGUCUUGGUCAUUGGAUACAUAGCCUUGAGUUGGUGACAAGCUUGGCGAAGACUGCGGAUCUUGAUGAACAGCAUCAUCGGUCAACAGAAGGAGGGGAUCAUGGAUUGCUUUGAUACCAGAUGUUAUGGACACACUAGUUUCUCUUGAUUUAUUGUAGAUAGAUAGGUGAACUGGAGUUCCAGGUAGCAAAUGUAAAUCAAAUUGUCGAUUACAAGAAUGGGGGGAUCGGGGAAAGGAGAGUGUUCGUAGCCGCCAGACAUGUUGGUUUGCCU